AUGUCUUCCUCUUCCACGCCCGUGACGUUUGAGAAUCCGAGGAAGGUGGUGAAGAAGGUGCUGUCCUUGUCCCAGUCCGAGGGGGACGGCGCCACCGUCCGCCGGAGCAUCGGCGGUUGCGAGCUCCGGAACCUGGACCCGUUUCUCCUGCUCGACGAGUUCUCCGUCUCCAAGCCCGCCGGAUUCCCCGACCACCCCCACCGGGGCUUCGAGACCGUCACCUACAUGCUCGACGUACGGACGCAUGCUCUGAGCUUCUUCCAUGUUUUUUCUCAAAUUUACUCUGCCUCCAUCGUGUUGCCUGCAAGGUGUUUGCUGAAAUGCUGUUCUGUCUUCUACGUUCUGACGAUGCAUGCAGGGGGCCUUCACCCACCAGGACUUCUCGGGGCACAAGGGCACCAUCAGGACAGGAGAUGUCCAGGGCGCGGCAUCGUGCACUCGGAGAUGCCGGCGGCCGACGGCGUGCAGAAGGGCCUGCAGCUCUGGAUCAACCUCGCCUCCAAGGACAAGAUGAUCGAGCCACGGUACCAGGAGCUCAAGAGCAAGGACAUUAGCCAGGCUGAGAAGCAUGGUGUGAAGGUGCGGAUCAUCGCAGGGGAGGCCUUCGGGGUGCAGUCGCCAGUCUACACACGCACACCAACAAUGUACAUGGACUUCACAAUGCAACCAGGGUCGCAGCUCCACCAGCCGAUCCCCGAGGGCUGGAACGCUUUCGUGUACAUCAUCGAGGGGGAGGGUGUAUUUGGUGGGGAGGGCGAUGCACCGGCGAGCACGCACCAUUGCCUCGUGCUUGGUGCCGGCAACGGGCUUAGCGUGUGGAAACGGUCUGGCGCGCAGCUGCGGUUCGUGCUGGCGGCAGGGCAGCCGUUGAAUGAGCCAGUGGUGCAGCAGGGGCUCUUCGUCAUGAACUCUCGUGCCCAGAUCCAGCAGGCCAUGCAGGACUAUUACUACGGACGCAACGGCUUCGAGAAGGCCAGCCAGUGGAGCUCCGCCUGA
rnacentral:rRNA from 1 species